rnacentral:tRNA from 1 species
GAGGGUAUGGUUCAAGAGGAAGAACACUUGCCUAGCAAGCUUGAGCUCUGAGUUCAAUUUCCAGUGCCUUUA